rnacentral:rRNA from 1 species
CCUACGGGUGGCAGCAGUGGGGAAUAUUGCACAAUGGGGGAAACCCUGAUGCAGCGACGCCGCGUGAGUGAAGAAGUUUUUCGGUACGUAAAGCUCUAUUAGCAGGGAAGAAAGUGAGGGUGCCUGACUAAGAAACCCCGGCUAACUACGUGCCAGCAGGCGCGGGAAUAAGUAGGGGGCAAGCGUUAUUCGGAUUUGUUGGGUGGAAAGGGUGCGUGGAUGGCAGGGCAAGUCUGAAGGGAAAUCCCAGGGGUUAACCAUGGAACUGCUUUGGAAACUGUGCACCUGGAGUGCAGGAGAGGUAAGCGGAAUUCCUAGUGUAGCGGUGAAAUGCGUAGAUAUUAGGAGGAACACCAGUGGCGAAGGCGGCUUACUGGACUGUAACUGACGUUGAGGCUCGAAAGCGUGGGGAGCAAACAGGAUUAGAUACCCGGGUAGUC